rnacentral:rRNA from 1 species
AACGUAGGAGGCAAGCGUUAUCCGGAUUUACUGGGCGUAAAGCGUGUGCAGGCGGUUGUCCAAGUCGUGUAUGAAAGCGCUCCGCUUAACGGGGCGAGGCUAGACGAGACUGGGCGACUAGAAUCAGACAGAGGCAAGCGGAAUUCCGAGUGUAGAGGUGAAAUUCGUAGAUAUUCGGAGGAACACCAGUGGCGAAGGCGGCUCACUGGUCCAUUACUGACGCUGAGGUGCGAAAGCGUGGGGAGCAAACAGG